rnacentral:snRNA from 1 species
AAAUUGGAUCGAUACAGAGAAGAUUAGCAUGGCCCCUGCGAAAGGAUGACACGCAAAUCCGUGAAGCGCUCCAUAUUUUA